UACGUAGGGGGCUAGCGUUGUCCGGAUUUAUUGGGCGUAAAGAGCGUGUAGGCGGCCAGGUAGGUCUGGUGUGAAAACUCGAAGGCUUAACCUCGAGAUGUCAUCGGAAACCAUCUGGCUAGAGUCCGGAAGAGGAGAGUGGGAAUUCCUGGUGUAGCGGUGAAAUGCGCAGAUAUCGGGAGGAACACCAGUGGCGAAGGCGGCACUCUGGGCCGGUACUGACGCUGAGGUGCGAAAGCGUGGGGAGCAAACAGGG
rnacentral:rRNA from 1 species